GCACGCCGCGUGGGUGAGAAGGCUUUCGGGUCGUAAAUCCCUUUUGUUGGGGAAGAAGAUCUGACGGUACCCAACGAAUAAGCCUCGGCUAACUACGUGCCAGCAGCCGCGGUAAUACGUAGGAGGCGAGCGUUAUCCGGAUUUAUUGGGCGUAAAGAGCGCGUAGGCGGCCUAUUAAGUCAGUUGUGAAAUCUCCUGGCUCAACUGGGAGGGGUCAACUGAUACUGGUGGGCUUGAGGGCAGCAGAGGGAGGUGGAAUUCCCGGUGUAGCGGUGAAAUGCGUAGAGAUCGGGAGGAACACCAGUGGCGAAGGCGGCCUCCUGGGCUGUUUCUGACGCUGAGGCGCGAAAGCGUGGGGAGCAAACAGGAUUAGAUACCCUGGUAGUCCACGCUGUAAACUAUGGACACUAGGUAUGGGGAGUAGCGACCCUCUCCGUGCCGAAGUUAACGCUUUAAGUGUCCCGCCACAU
rnacentral:rRNA from 1 species